GUUUUCAUUUGGUUUGUCCAUCCAACAACAGAUUACAUUUACCAGUUUCUUUUGCAGUGGGGUAUGAUCAUGUGACCAAGUCUUGGUUAAUGGAACUUGGGCAGAUAUGAAGAAAGCUACAACCAGGUCAUUUCCUUCAAGGUAAUUGUCACAGACACUGUUCUUUCUCACUUCCCUUAGAUGUGGUGGUGAGCCACCAUGAACCACAUUGAUGGCCCCCAAGCCCACAGAGCCCACAGAGAGCCAAAGGAGAAAAGGAGCCAAUUCUUUAGAAGACCUUAAGGAGAAAUGUUGCUUGGCCUCCAGUUCUGACCACUCAUUACUAGACUGUAACAUAAGAAAAACAGAACAAAACUUUUAUCAUCUUUGAGCCAUAGGGUUAGACUGUACCCCAGUAAUACAGUCUCAGACUAUCCAUAAACUUAAUCAUAUCCUCUUAAAUGUUUCAAAUUAAAUUCAAGUCUAAUGUACUAGGUUUUCUUAUAUGUUAGAUUGCCAUCAAUGUUUUAACCUCUUUAAAU
rnacentral:lncRNA from 1 species